UAAAACCACCCCCUAGACUCCAACCACUACAACUAAAUAACCCGGUAGAAUCCAAGCCACUACAACUAAAUAACCCUGUAGACUCCAAGCCACACAACUAAAUAACCCCCCUAACUCCAAGCCACUACUACUAAUAACCCCCCUAGACUCCAAGCCACUACUACUAAACACACCCCUAGACUCCAAGCCACUACUACUAAAUCACCCCCCUAGACUCCAAGCACAACAAAAAAUAACCCCUAGACUCCAAGCCACUACAACUAAAUAACCCCCUAGACUCCAAGCCACUACAACUAAAUAACCCCUAGACCCAAGCACUACUACUACUAAACCACCCCUAGACUCCAAGCCACUACAACUAAAUAACCCCCUAGACUCCAAGCCACUACAACUAAAUAACCCUGUAGAAUCCAAGCCACUACAACUAAAACCCUGUAGACCCCAAGCCUACACUAACAUAAACCCCCCCUAGACUCCAAGCCACUACACUAAAUAACCCCCUAGACUCCAAGCCACUACACUAAAUCACCCCUAGACUCCAAGCCACUACAACUAAAUAACCCUGUAGACUCCAAGCCACUACUACAAAUAACCCCCCGAGCCCCAAGCCACACUAAUAAAUAACCCCCCUAGACUCCAAGCCACUACAACUAAAUAACCCCCUAGACCUCCAAGCCACACGAUACUACUAAACCCACCCCCUAGACUCCAAGCCACUACAACUAAUAACCCUGUAGAAUCCAAGCCACUACAACUAAAUAACCCUGUAGACUCCAAGCCACUACAACUAAUAAAACCCUUAGACUCCAAGCCACUACUACUAAAUAACCCCCCUAGACUCCAAGCCACUACAACUAAAUAACCCCCGUAGACUCCAAGCCACUACUACUAAAUAACCCUGUAGACUCCAAGCCAUUACAACUAAAUUACCCUGUAGACUCCAAGCCACUACUACUAAAUAACCCUGUAGACUCCAAGCCACUACUAAAAUAACCCUGUAGACUCCAAGCCACUACAAACUAAAUAACCCUGUAGACUCCAAGCCACUACAACUAAAUAACCCUGUAGACUCCAAGCCCUACUAAUAAAUACCCUGUAGACUCCAAGCCACUACUACUAAAUAACCCGUAGACUCCAAGCCACUACUACUAAAUAACCCUGUAGACUCAAGCCAAUACUACUACAAUAACCCUGUAGACUCCAAGCCACUACUACUAAAUAACCCCCCAUAGCCUCCUGAAUUGCUUACAGAAAAUUCAGAGAUCAUAAUGGU
rnacentral:lncRNA from 1 species